GACGAACGCUGGCGGCGUGCUUAACACAUGCAAGUCGAACGGAAAGGCCCUGCUUUUGUGGGGUGCCCGAGUGGCGAAGGGGUGAGUAACAGGUGAGUAACCGGCCCUUGACUUUGGGAUAACUUAAGGAAACUGGGGCUAAUACCGGAUAGGAGCUCCUGCGGCAGGGUGGGGGUGGGAAAGUUUCGGCGGUUGGGGAUGGACUCGCGGCUUACCAGCUUGUUGGUGGGGUAGUGGCUUACCAAGGCUUUGACGGGUAGCCGGCCUGAGAGGGUGACCGGCCACAUUGGGACUGAGAUACGGCCCAGACUCCUACGGGAGGCAGCAGUGGGGAAUAUUGCCCAAUGGGCGGAAGCCUGAUGCAGCAACGCCGCGUGCGGGAUGACGGCCUUCGGGUUGUAAACCGCUUUCGCCUGUGACGAAGCGUGAGUGACGGUAAUGGGUAAAGAAGCACCGGCUAACUACGUG
rnacentral:rRNA from 1 species